GAUGAACGCUGGCGGCGUGCUUAACACAUGCAAGUCGAACGGGAAACAUUUCAUUGAGGCUUCGGCGGAUUUGGUCUGUUUCUAGUGGCGGACGGGUGAGUAACGCGUGGGUAACCUGCCUUGUACUGGGGGAUAACAGCCAGAAAUGGCUGCUAAUACCGCAUAAGCGCACGGGACCGCAUGGUCCUGUGUGAAAAACUCCGGUGGUAUAAGAUGGACCCGCGUUGGAUUUGCUAGUUGGCAGGGCAGCGGCCUACCAAGGCGACGAUCCAUAGCCGGCCUGAGAGGGUGAACGGCCACAUUGGGACUGAGACACGGCCCAGACUCCUACGGGAGGCAGCAGUGGGGAAUAUUGCACAAUGGGGGAAACCCUGAUGCAGCGACGCCGCGUGAAGGAAGAAGUGUCUCGGUAUGUAAACUUCUAUCAGCAGGGAAGAUAAUGACGGUACCUGACUAAGAAGCCCCGGCUAACUACGUGCCAGCCGCCGCGGUAA
rnacentral:rRNA from 1 species